AUGGAAGGAUUAUGCCUUUGCUGUCUUAAAUCUCCACCUGCCCACAUUCAUCUAAGACCAACCAACCUUGUUCCUUUCUUCUUUGCCAGCCCUCCUCCCCCACCUGUAUCUCCCACCUCACAUUCAAUAAUGCGGGGUAACGCAUGUUUCAGAGCCUGGUGUCAUGUUAGUAAGAGGUCAGGCAUGAACAUUCAUGUCAAAACCUCUGUACCUCUUCUCACACUAUCUGAAUGUCAACUGUGGUUUACAAUAAUAACAGUCGCCACUUUCAUUAAACAGUUCUGUGUCCAGACAGUGUGUUAGGUACGUAAUAUACAUUACCUCAUUUAAUUUAUUAGCUACACAACUUUAUACAAUCAGUGCUACUAUUUUCCCAUUUUACAGAUGAAAGGGAGGUUUUCCCAAGUUCAUACGGCCGAGUGUGCCUGGUUUUAAGCAGUCAGUUCAAAUAUGGCAUAUGUGCAGACUGGCUUACUGAGAGGCCUGGCGAUCAUGUGUGGG
rnacentral:lncRNA from 1 species